UGCGCAGGUGGGGAUGUAAGUCAGUGGUGAAAUGUUGCCGCUCAACGGUAAAAUUGCCAUUGAUACUGCAUCUCUUGAGUAUGGUUGAGGUAGGCGGAAUGUGUUGUGUAGCGGUGAAAUGCAUAGAUAUGACACAGAACACCGAUUGCGAAGGCAGCUUACUAAGCCAUUACUGACGCUGAGGCACGAAGGCGUGGGGAGCGAACAGGAUUAGAUACCCUGGUAGUCC
rnacentral:rRNA from 1 species